AUAGUUGAGCUUCCCUUCUCCGUGCUCUUCUCUUCUCUUCUCUUCUCGUCCGCUUCGGUGUGAGAUCCACGAGCUUCCCUUCUCAGUCUCUCAGCUUCUCGUCGGCUACGGAUUCACGAGAUCCAUUGUUGAUGUUGUUGGUCAUCGAUCUCAUGGCCCUAUUCCUGAACCUGGAUCAAUUGUCGUUGUUCGGGUUACAAAAGUUAUGGCUAGAAUGGCUUCAUCUGAUAUAAUGUGUGUGGAAUCAAAGGCUGUGAAGGAAAAGUUUACUGGUAUUAUUAGUUUACUGGUAUGCAAUGUUAAUUGAAAAAAAAUAAGGACACAAUGCUUCAUUCUUAGUGAUCAAAGAAUGAUAUUUUGAGCAUGAUGGUGAAUUUGGAGCCCUUUCACUUGGUUAAACUUUUAUUGUUUCUGAGUUUUAUGAGAGCUGACAAUGCUGAAUGAGUAGCUAUUUUUUAUUUAUAUAAGAAUGAAUAGCUUCAUUAUGUUUUUUUGUUUA